GUCAGGCGUUGAUGACGUCAGAGUUGGCCCACCCUCCGGACUGAGAGGUUAGUGUUGCUGUUGUCCCUUGCAGUCUGCAGCUCCCACUCGCUUCACAAUGUCGGGAGUUCACACUGCAUCAGCCUUUGUUUUUGCCUUGAUUUUCUACGGUGUUUUUAUAACCACGGAGGCGCAGACUUCGACUCCUUCUCCAGGCACCAUUCCUUGUGCCUUGAGAUCCAACACCAGUUGUAAAGAAUGUCUGGAGAAUGUAACAUGUUUGUGGUGCACACCAACCAAACAAUGCUUGGACUACCCAGUGAGGAACAUCUUGCCCCCCAGCACUGUGUGUCCAUUGAAUGAUGCACGAUGGGGGUUGUGUUGGGUAAACUUCCAGAUUUUGAUCAUCACCAUGUCAGUGGUGGGAGGCGUCUUCAUUAUCGGCAUUCUGGUUUGCUGCUUCUGCUGCUGCAAGUGUGAAAGAAUUGGGAACAAGAAAGAAGACGCAAAGAUGGAGCGACAAACCCGUGCAAGAAAGAACCGUCAAAAAGCAAAGUAAAUGGCUAUGAGGAGGGGAUUUUAAAAAAGAUAAAGAAGCCCUUAUUGCUGGACAACAGAGAUGCAGAUGAGACAUGACGAGAUCAGGCAAAAAUAUGGUAUUGCAAAGGAAAACCCAUACGCCCGUAUGGACGAUCAUUAAGAAGAAUCUCAGCGAUGACUCCUCCACAUAAAUCCUUAAGUUGAUCUUAUUGAUGCCAGUAACAUUAAGAUACACAAAACUAUGAUGAUCUGAUUUCAUUUCAGUGUUUGUCAAAAAAUGUCACCAAGAUGUCCUGAAAUUAUUUUGACUAAGUGUUCACCGUUUCCUUCACCUAACAUUUCAUAUUCUAUGCACAUUGUGUUCUGCUGUUAUACCAGGGUAAUAUUUCUUAUGUCUUAUUUUUUUUCAUAAGGAUUGUAUGAGCAUCUGUUCAGUUCAAAACCUAUUGUCCAACAAGCUAUACAACAUCACUGUGUUAUUUUGCAUAUAAUGCAUAAAAUGCCAUAUUAUUAGUUUUUUUACAACUCAAGAGCAAGUGUGGUGCUUCAUAAAUAAUAGCAAUUUAAUGUUCAUACUAUUGUUAUAAUACACACUACUUUACUGAUCAGUACUGAAAGAACAACAUUUAUUUUUAUAAAAAAUGGUAUAACAUGUGACUUAAUGGACUAAAGAAAUGUGUUUUCUUGAACUACAUGUGAGUGAUUUGAUUAUUGUGCAGCAUUUGUUUUCAACCAAUUGUGAUAAUUUAAAAAAUAAAUACAUUUUUUUGUGACUUUCAA